UGAGGAAUAUUGGUCAAUGGGCGAGAGCCUGAACCAGCCAAGUAGCGUGCAGGAUGACGGCCCUAUGGGUUGUAAACUGCUUUUAUGUGGGGAUAAAGUGCGUGACGUGUCAUGCAUUGCAGGUACCACAUGAAUAAGGACCGGCUAAUUCCGUGCCAGCAGCCGCGGUAAUACGGAAGGUCCGGGCGUUAUCCGGAUUUAUUGGGUUUAAAGGGAGCGUAGGCUGUCUAUUAAGCGUGUUGUGAAAUUUACCGGCUCAACCGGUGGCUUGCAGCGCGAACUGGUCGACUUGGGUAUGCGGGAAGUAGGCGGAAUUCAUGGUGUAGCGGUGAAAUGCUUAGAUAUCAUGACGAACUCCGAUUGCGCAGGCAGCUUACUGUAGCAUAACUGACGCUGAUGCUCGAAAGUGCGGGUAUCAAACAGG
rnacentral:rRNA from 1 species